rnacentral:lncRNA from 1 species
AUGAAAAAUGUUUGACAAAGCUAAAUAAAUAUGGAGAGUAAAAUUAAUUCAAGACUAAUGGCUAAGAGCAAGAAUGCAAGAGAAUAAUGAAGAGUUAAAGAAGAGCAAUUAGACACACCACAAACAAAAGGAUUUAUAGUGGUUCGGUGCCAACCUUGCACCUACAUCGACUCCCCAAGCUCCUACUUGGGAAUUUUAAUCCACUAAUCUUGUAUU